rnacentral:tRNA from 9 species
GGGCGUGUAACUCAGUGGUAGAGUGCUCGCUUCGCAUGCGAGAAGUCCAGGGUUCGACUCCCUGCUCGUCCA